AUUGAACGCUGGCGGCAGGCCUAACACAUGCAAGUCGAACGGUAACAGGAAGCAGCUUGCUGCUUCGCUGACGAGUGGCGGACGGGUGAGUAAUGUCUGGGAAACUGCCUGAUGGAGGGGGAUAACUACUGGAAACGGUAGCUAAUACCGCAUAACGUCGCAAGACCAAAGAGGGGGACCUUCGGGCCUCUUGCCAUCGGAUGUGCCCAGAUGGGAUUAGCUAGUAGGUGGGGUAACGGCUCACCUAGGCGACGAUCCCUAGCUGGUCUGAGAGGAUGACCAGCCACACUGGAACUGAGACACGGUCCAGACUCCUACGGGAGGCAGCAGUGGGGAAUAUUGCACAAUGGGCGCAAGCCUGAUGCAGCCAUGCCGCGUGAGCGAAGAAGUAUUUCGGUAUGUAAAGCUCUAUCAGCAGGGAAGAAAAAAUGACGGUACCUGACUAAGAAGCCCCGGCUAACUACGUGCCAGCAGCCG
rnacentral:rRNA from 1 species